UCUCUCUCUAAACUUAUCUUUUUUUUUCUAAACUUCAACUCUUUUUCUCUUUCUAAAUUAAGCUAUUUCUCUCCCUCUUUUUCUAAAUCUCAACCCUCUCAUUCUUUCUAACCUCGACUCUAUUUCUCUUUCUAUUUUUUUAAUUAUGCUAUCUUUUUCUAACAUAUAUUCUCUCUCUCUUUUUUCUAAAAAAAUGUUGAAUUUUUUUUAUAGUAUUAUUUAAAAUUAAUUAAAUAAAUAAAUUAAUUAAUUGUAUAUUUUUUGAAAUCUUAAGUAACAUGACUAAAUAAUAUGACCGUACAAACCAAACACCGAAAUACUACAUUCUUAGUAAUAAGAUGAAUAGGAAUAAAAUUCUCGGAUAUCUUUUUACUCUUAGUAAUCUUUCAUAGUGCGAACCAAAUGCGCCCAAAAAGUAAAGUUAGAU
rnacentral:lncRNA from 1 species